GAUGAACGCUAGCUACAGGCUUAACACAUGCAAGUCGAGGGGAAACGGGAGAAUAGCUUGCUAUUCUUUGUCGUCGACCGGCGCACGGGUGAGUAACGCGUAUCCAACCUUCCCAUAGCUAAGGAAUACCCCGUAGAAAUGCGGCCUAAUCCCUUAUGGUCUCUUAUACCUGACAUCGGAAUAAGAGUAAAGAUUUAUCGGUUAUGGAUGGGGAUGCGUCUGAUUAGCUUGCUGGCGGGGUAACGGCCCACCAGGGCAUCGAUCAGUAGGGGUUCUGAGAGGAAGGUCCCCCACAUUGGAACUGAGACACGGUCCAAACUCCUACGGGAGGCAGCAGUGAGGAAUAUUGGUCAAUGGGCGAGAGCCUGAACCAGCCAAGUAGCGUGCAGGAUGACGGCCCUAUGGGUGUGUAAACUGCUUUUUAAGGUGAAUAAAGAAGGGCACGUGUGCCCUGUUGCAUGUAGCCUUGGAAUAAGGACCGGCUAAUUCCGUGCCAGCAGCCGCGGUAAUACGGAAGGUCCAGGUGUUAUCCGGAUUUAUUGGGUUUAAAGGGAGCGUAGGCCGCAGGUUAAGUGUGUUGUGAAAAGCAGUCGCCCAACGUCUGCCUUGCAGCGCAAACUGUCCUGCUUGAGUGCGCACAACGCAGGCGGAAUUCGUCGUGUAGCGGUGAAAUGCUUAGAUAUGACGAAGAACUCCGAUUGCGAAGGCAGCUUGCGGGAGCGCAACUGACGCUGAAGCUCGAAAGUGCGGGUAUCGAACAGGAUUAGAUACCCUGGUAGUCCGCACGGUAAACGCUGGAUGCCCGUUUUUGGCUUAUUUUAAGUCAGAGACCAAGCGAAAGCAUUAAGCAUCCCACCUGGGGAGUACGCCGGCAACGGUGAAACUCAAAGGAAUUGACGGGGGCCCGCACAAGCGGAGGAACAUGUGGUUUAAUUCGAUGAUACGCGAGGAACCUUACCCGGGGCUUGAAUUGCCAGAGACGGCUCCAGAGAUGGAGCUUCCCUUCGGGGGCUCUGGUGACGGUGCUGCAUGGGUUGUCGUCAGCUCGUGCCGUGAGGUGUCAGCUUAAGUGCCAUAACGAGCGCACCCCCUUUCUUCAGUUGCCAUCGGGGUAUUGCCCUGGCACUCUGUAAAAUCCGCCGCCGAUCGGGUUGAGGAAGGGUGGGACUACGUCAAAUAGCAGGCCCUACGUCGGGCUAACAGGUUAAA
rnacentral:rRNA from 3 species